GACUCUCGGCAACGGAUAUCUCGGCUCUCGCAUCGAUGAAGAACGUAGCGAAAUGCGAUACCUGGUGUGAAUUGCAGAAUCCCGCGAACCAUCGAGUCUUUGAACGCAAGUUGCGCCCGAGGCCACUCGGCUGAGGGCACGCCUGCCUGGGCGUCA
rnacentral:rRNA from 1 species